rnacentral:rRNA from 1 species
UACAUGGGGUGCAAACGUUGCUCGGAAUCAUUGGGCGUAAAGCGCACGUAGGCGGUUCGUUAUGUCGGAUGUGAAAGCCCUUGGCUUAACCGAGGAAGUGCAUCCGAAACUGGCGAGCUAGAGUACUAAAGAGGAUCGCGGAAUUCCCGGUGUAGAGGUGAAAUUCGUAGAUAUCGGGAGGAACACCGGUGGCGAAGGCGGCGAUCUGGGUAGAUACUGACGCUGAGGUGCGAAAGCGUGGGGAGCAAACAGGG